rnacentral:lncRNA from 1 species
GGUGAAAAUGCAAUGAACAGGUCCAACCAAUUGCACAUUUGUAUAAAUAAAACUUUAUUAAAUCAAUAAAUCAAACAGUAGCUUUUUUUUCCGAAAGUAACUGAUAGUGAGUUUUGGUAUUCUUGACUAUGUAUUAACCAUGGCUUUAGAGGUUAAGAAGUUGUGAUUUUAAUGUUUAUUAAUUGUACAAGAGUUUAGGAGAACAGUAGAAUGAAUUGGGCAUAACUUUCCUAUGUUCAUAUAUGAAUACAUGACCAGUGUAACUCCAUAUAACGUACAACUACAAGAAUGGAAAGUUCUACUCCAUGUGUGUAUAAUAUGUCCAAAUACAUUCUACUGUCAUGUAUAUCUAAAAUGAGCAAAUACAAAAAUUUAUAAAGAGAAUCCAGGAGGUUUCUCUUCAGUAUCUUUUAUCUCUUCCCAUAGUACACACUAAAGUUUUCUCUGUAUGAUAAUCUUUCAAUUAAUGUUGUUGAAUGGAUAUUUUAUUUUUGCAUCAUGCUUUAUUAUAGUCAUGUGCCACAUAAUAACAUUUCAGUCAAUGACAGAUUACAAUCUAAGACGAUGCAUUCAUAAGAUUAUAAUAGAAUUUAAAAAUUCCUAUCAUCUUGUUUUAUUGCACCAUUCACAAUGUUGAAGUGCAAUGCAUUUGUGGUGAUGCUGGUAAAAAAAAAAAAAAAAAAAAAACCUACUCCACUGCCAGUUAUAUAGAAGUAUAGCACAUGCAACUACAUCAGUAAAUAAUGAUAAUAAGCAACUAAAUUAAUGGUUAAUAUAUUUACUAAACUGUACUUUUAAUUGCUAUUUUAGAGUAUAGUCCUUUUCCCUGUAAAAAAUAUUGUAAAACGUUAUGACAUGUUUUGCCAGUGGUCACCUUAUCCACUUUGGGUCAAAUGACUGAUGUGUACCAUCUAAGUUUGUGUAAGUAUAUGCUUUGAUGUUUGUUCACUUACAAAACAGCCUAAUGAUGCAUUUCCCAGAUUAUAAUAAAAUCUACAGCAUACUUCCAAUAUUGCCUCCUCCACGAUUGAUUCCCCAAAUAUGUAACUUCCUCCUUUAUGAAAUUCUUUACUAUUUUAGGUGAUUAUUGAAUAGAUUUGCAUUCAAUUAUAAGAUACAAUACAGAAAAAUUCUUUUACUCGGUUUCUGGCAAUGGUAGCAGCUUUCUUAACUAUUGUACAAUAUCAUAACCAGAAAGUUGACAUGAAGACCAACUAUCAAUGUUAUUCAGAUUUCACCAGUUUUAAAAAUAUAACAAUGUGUGUUUGCAUGAGAAUGUGCUUAGUUCUAUGUAAUUGUAUCACCUAUAUAGAUUUGUGUGAUCAUCC